UGAGAGUUUGAUCCUGGCUCAGAACGAACGCUGGCGGCGUGCCUAACACAUGCAAGUCGGACGGAUCAAGCAAGGGGCAUAGAGCGGAGAGCUAAGAGAAUGAAUCGACCUCUAAGCUCUAUGCUCUUUGUUUGGUUAGUGGCGGACGGGUGAGUAACACGCAGGUAACCUACCCUCAAGAGUGGGACAACCCCGAGAAAUCGGGGCUAAUACCGCAUAAGACCACGGGUUGAGAUACCCGUGAUAAAAGGAGAAAUCCGCUUGAGGAUGGGCCUGCGGCCUAUCAGGUAGUUGGUAGGGUAAUGGCCUACCAAGGCUACGACGCGUAGCGGGUCUGAGAGGACGACCCGCCUCAUUGGGACUGAGAUACGGCCCAGACUCCUACGGGAGGCAGCAGUAGGGAAUUUUCCGCAAUGGGCGAAAGCCUGACGGAGCGACGCCGCGUGAGGGAUGAAGGUCUUCGGAUUGUAAACCUCUUUUUACAGGGAAUAAAAUUAUUAAAAUGAAUAAUUUUAAUAAUUGACAGUACCUGUAGAAUAAGCUACGGCUAACUCUGUGCCAGCAGCCGCGGUAAUACAGAGGUAGCAAGCGUUGUCCGGAUUCACUGGGCAUAAAGGGCUUGUAGGUGGCCUAAUAAGUCAGUUGUGAAAUCGUUUUGCUCAACAAAACAAUUGCAACUGAUACUGUUAGGCUUGAGUGCAGGAGGGGAAAAUGGAAUUUCCGGUGUAGCGGUGAAAUGCGUAGAUAUCGGAAAGAACACCAGUGGCGAAGGCGGUUUUCUGGCCUGCAACUGACACUGAGGAGCGAAAGCCAGGGGAGCAAACGGGAUUAGAUACCCCGGUAGUCCUGGCUGUAAACGAUGCACACUAGGUAUAGGGGAUUUAUUUCUUCUGUGCCGCCGAUAAUUCAUUAAGUGUGCCGCCUGGGAACUACGGCCGCAAGGUUGAAACUCAAAGAAAUUGACGGGGGCCCGCACAAGCGGUGGAGCAUGUGGUUCAAUUCGACGCAACGCGAAGAACCUUACCUGGGCUUGACAUGCUUGAUGUAAUCCUUGUGAAAACUUGGACCUCUAUCAGCAAUGGUAGACAUCAGCACAGGUGCUGCAUGGUUGUCGUCAGCUCGUGCCGUGAGGUGUUGGGUUAAGUCCUCUAACGAGCGCAACCCCUACUAUUAGUUGCCAGCGGGUUAAGCCGGGCUCUCUAAUAGAACUGCCUGGGAUAACCAGGAGGAAGGCGGGGAUGACGUCAAAUCCUCAUGGCCCUUAUGUCCAGGGCUACACACGUGCUACAAUGGUCGGUACAAAGCGCUGCAAACCCGCGAGGGGGAGCCAAUCGCAAAAAACCGACCUCAGUACAGAUAAGAG
rnacentral:rRNA from 1 species